GGCCCCUUAGCUCAGUGGUUAGAGCAGUCGACUCAUAAUCGAUUGGUCCGCAGUUCAAGUCUGGGAGGGGCCACCA
rnacentral:tRNA from 2 species